rnacentral:tRNA from 1 species
GGGGAUAUAGCUCAGUUGGCAGAGUGCUUGCCAACAUGCACAAGACCCUGGGUUCAAUCCCCAGCACCACCA